rnacentral:rRNA from 2 species
GGUUAAGCGACUAAGCGUACACGGUGGAUGCCCUGGCAGUCAGAGGCGAUGAAGGACGUGCUAAUCUGCGAUAAGCGUCGGUAAGGUGAUAUGAACCGUUAUAACCGGCGAUUU